rnacentral:rRNA from 1 species
UACAGAGGUCCCAAGCGUUGUUCGGAUUCACUGGGCGUAAAGGGUGCGUAGGCGGUUGGGUAAGUCUGUCGUGAAAUCUCCGAGCCUAACUCGGAAACUGCGUCGGAUACUAUUCAACUCGAGGAAUGGAGGGGAGACUGGAAUUCUCGGUGUAGCAGUGAAAUGCGUAGAUAUCGGCAGGAACACCCAGGGGGAAACCAGUCGACUGGGCAUCUACUGACGCUGAGGUGCGAGAGCGUGGGGAGCGAACCGG